UCCUUCGGGAGCAAAGAGACAGGUGGUGCAUGGCUGUCGUCAGCUCGUGUCGUGAGAUGUUGGGUUAAGUCCCGCAACGAGCGCAACCCUUAUUGUUAAUUGCCAUCAUUUAGUUGGGCACUCUAGCGAGACUGCCGGUGACAAACCGGAGGAAGGUGGGGAUGACGUCAAGUCAGCAUGCCCCUUAUGACCUGGGCUACACACGUGCUACAAUGGGAAGUACAGAGA
rnacentral:rRNA from 1 species